UCUACCUGCUUAUUCUGGACAGGCGUCUACUUGCUAUAGUAUGGUGUUUGUUUGAUUCAUUAAGAGAUGUUCAGGCGCGUUUGAUACAGCACGAUUGAUGGGCGUUUGCUUUGCGCUAUUUGCAAAGCCUCAGUAAGUUGUUAGUUCAGAAACAUGUCGUCAGUUUUCAUCUAAUUCACUGAGUAUUUUCCCUGAAUAAUAACCCACUCAGAUACCCAGGUGAACACCGGAAACAUACGUGUAACUGAUUGGCCAGCACUCGUCAGCUGACAGCACGCAGAGAAUCAUAUGCGUGGAGACAGAACUAGCUCGGGGAAACCUGAGGGUGUUCAAUGGCACAAAUCGCGGAAGGAAUCUCAAAACGAAAGCGAAGCGAGACAAUACCUCUAUAUUUCUGCAUAGCGUCAGUCAUGCGAUGCAAAUACCGGAUGUAGUCAUGAACUGUUACGUCACUGCCGAUAUGUUUUAUUCUUCAGUCGUAUAUCAAUCGUAUAUCAUCUACCCUGUGGCCUCCUACAAUUUGUUGUGUUUAUUUGUUGUUGUUGUUUUAUUGUUGUAGUUUUGUGGGCUUGUUCUUGUUGUGUAUUUGUUGAGCUACUUAUGUAUUUAUGAGUGAGUGAGUGAGUGACUAAUGUAUCUAUGGUCGAGUGAGUGAGUGCCCCUCAGUGGGUGAGUGAGGGACGGAUGUGAUGUGAGGGUCAUAACAGCGUGUCAGUUUCACAUGAGUGGGUGAAUGAGUUGAGUUUUACGCCGCACACAACAAU